rnacentral:rRNA from 1 species
CUACGGGGGGCACCAGUGGGGAAUAUUGCACAAUGGGCGCAAGCCUGAUGCAGCAACGCCGCGUGAGGGAUGAAGGCCUUCGGGUUGUAAACCUCUUUUAGCAGGGAAGAAGCGAAAGUGACGGUACCUGCAGAAAAAGCACCGGCUAACUACGUGCCAGCAGCCGCGGUAAUACGUAGGGUGCGAGCGUUGUCCGGAAUUAUUGGGCGUAAAGAGCUCGUAGGCGGUUUGUCACGUCUGCUGUGAAAAUCCAAGGCUCAACCUUGGACUUGCAGUGGGUACGGGCAGGCUAGAGUGCGGUAGGGGAGAUGGGAAUUCCUGGUGUAGCGGUGGAAUGCGCAGAUAUCAGGAGGAACACCAAUGGCGAAGGCACAUCUCUGGGCCGCAACUGACGCUGAGGAGCGAAAGCGUGGGGAGCGAACAGGAUUAGAUACCCGUGUAGUC